CCGUAGCCUGGUAGCGGGGGAUAACUAUUGGAAACGAUAGCUAAUACCGCAUAACAGUAGAUAUCGCAUGAUAGCUGCUUGAAAGGUGCAACUGCACCACUACCAGAUGGACCUGCGUUGUAUUAGCUAGUUGGUGAGGUAACGGCUCACCAAGGCAACGAUACAUAGCCGACCUGAGAGGGUGAUCGGCCACACUGGGACUGAGACACGGCCCAG
rnacentral:rRNA from 1 species